AGCUUUGCGCAGAGGCGAUACCGUAACUGAUGAGGAUUAUCCGAGGUGCGGUUAUUGCUGGUUGAAAACUAAACCCAAUUCCCCGCCAUGGUAAUCUGUAAAAAGGUUGUCAUUGGCAAUUUUUGGAAGCCUUUAGAGGC
rfam:Soboliphyme baturini genome assembly, scaffold: SBAD_scaffold0007444